rnacentral:rRNA from 1 species
UGGGGGAUAUUGCACAAUGGGCGAAAGCCUGAUGCAGCGACGCCGCGUGGGGGAUGAAGGCUUUCGGGUUGUAAACCUCUUUCGCUAUCGAACAAGGCCCGCUUAGGGUGGGUUGAGGGUAGGUGGAGAAGAAGCGCCGGCUAACUACGUGCCAGCAGCCGCGGUAAUACGUAGGGCGCGAGCGUUGUCCGGAAUUAUUGGGCGUAAAGGGCUUGUAGGCGGCUUGUUGCGCCUGCUGUGAAAACGCGGGGCUUAACUUCGCGCGUGCAGUGGGUACGGGCAGGCUUGAGUGUGGUAGGGGUGACUGGAAUUCCAGGUGUAGCGGUGGAAUGCGCAGAUAUCUGGAGGAACACCGAUGGCGAAGGCAGGUCACUGGGCCAUUACUGACGCUGAAGAGCGAAAGCAUGGGUAGCGAACAGG